rnacentral:lncRNA from 1 species
UCCUUGGUUGGAUUUGGGUUGUGAGAAGAUUGAUAAGAAGGACUGGUUCGAUGCCCUUGCUCACCCCGGACAAGUAAUCAAUAGCACAAUAAGUAUAUAGUGUCUACAAUCAUUGACAAUAUUUGUUUUGUCUUCAACUGUGUGGUGCAUUGUAGUUUUGUCUUUAACUAUGAUGCUUAAAUGUAGUUAUAUUGUACAGAUCAUAUAUAUGUUACUAUAUUUAGUCUUCAACUGUAAAAUUUUGCUUUUUUUGAACCUUAUGCAAUCAGUGUGAAAAAUGUAGUUAAUGUGUAGUUUUUUUAUGAAAAUAUGAUGGAUCAAUUGU